rnacentral:rRNA from 1 species
UACAGAGGUCUCGAGCGUUAGGCAGAAUCACUGGGCUUAAAGCGUGUGUAGGUGGAUGCCUAAGUACCUUGUGAAAUCCCACGGCUCAACCGUGGAACUGCUUGGUAUACUGCGGGUCUGAGCCACCUAGGGGCAAGUGGAACAAACGGUGGAGCGGUGAAAUGCGUAGAUAUCGUUUGGAACGCCAAUGGUGAAAACAACUUGCUGGGGGUGUGCUGA